rnacentral:pre_miRNA from 1 species
AGUGCAUUUGCUGGGUUAUAUGGUGAUUAUAUGUUUAGUUCUUUUUUUUAAAGAAAUUGCCAAACUGGUUUCCAGAAGGGCUGUACCAUUUUAUAUUCCCACCAGCAAU